rnacentral:rRNA from 1 species
AUACGUAGGUGACAAGCGUUAUCCGGAUUUACUGGGCGUAAAGGGCGUGUAGGCGGUCUUGCAAGUCAGAAGUGAAAUUCCUGAGCUCAACUCGGGCGCUGCUUCUGAAACUGCAGGACUUGAGUGCUGGAGGGGAUAGCGGAAUUCCUAGUGGAGCGGUAAAAUGCGCAGAUAUUAGGAAGAACACCGGUGGCGAAGGCGGCUAGCUGGACAGUAAGUGACGCUUAGGCGCGAAAGCGUGGGGAGCAAACAGGAUUAGAUACCCUGGUAGUAUACGCCGUAAACGGUGAAUAAUAGGUGUCGGGUUUCUUUAGAGAUUCGGUGCCGCAGCAAACGCAAUAAGUAUUCCACCUGGGGAGUACGUUCGCAAGAAUGAAACUCAAAUGAAUUGACGGG